AGCGAACGCUGGCGGCAGGCUUAACACAUGCAAGUCGAGCGGGCACUUUCGGGUGUCAGCGGCGGACGGGUGCGUAACGCGUGGGAACGUGCCCUCUGGUUCGGAAUAACUCAGGGAAACUUGAGCUAAUACCGGAUACGCCCUUUUGGGGAAAGGCUUGCUGCCGGAGGAUCGGCCCGCGUCUGAUUAGCUAGUUGGUGAGGUAACGGCUCACCAAGGCGACGAUCAGUAGCUGGUCUGAGAGGAUGAUCAGCCACACUGGGGCUGAGACACGGCCCAGACUCCUACGGGAGGCAGCAGUGGGGAAUAUUGGACAAUGGGCGCAAGCCUGAUCCAGCCAUGCCGCGUGAGUGAUGAAGGCCUUAGGGUUGUAAAGCUCUUUUAUCCGGGACGAUAAUGACGGUACCGGAGGAAUAAGCCCCGGCUAACUUCGUG
rnacentral:rRNA from 1 species